rnacentral:rRNA from 1 species
UUACAAUUGUAGCGUGUGAGCAUGUGAAAGAGAUAGAGAGGAACAGCAGUGGCGAAGGCGAAGUUCAUGCGUCUGUGGGAUAAUGCUGAGGCGCGAUGCGCGUGGGGAGUGGGGAGCAAUCAGAUAUUAGAUGUAGUCCGUAGUCGUAAACGAUGAGUGAUAAGUGUUAGGGGGUGUGGCCCCCUUAGUGUAGCAGCUAACGCAUUAAGCAAUCCGCCUGGGGAGGGGAGUCGCAAGACAAGAAUUCAAAGGAAAGGACGGGGGGCCGCACAACACAAGGGGCGGAUGAUGUAAUUUAAAUCGACGCGAAGAGCAAAACCAGGUCUAGCCAUGCCAUGUAUGGAAGUUGAGAUAUAGUUUAGCGUUCGGGCAAGACGGUGACAGGUGGGGCAUGGCAGUGGUCUGGUCAGGUCGUGUGAUGAGAGGUUAAGUUAAGCAACGAGCGCAGCCCAUGCUUUUACAUUACAUCAUUUAAAAGGGCACUCUAAGGAGACUGCCGGUGACAAACCGGAGGAAGGUGGGGAUGACGUCAAAUCAUCAUGCCCCUUAUGGCUAGGGCUUCACACGUCAUACAAUGGUCGAUACAAAGGGUCGCCAACUCGCGAGAGGGAGCCAAUCCCAGAAAGUCGUUCUCAGUUCGGAUUGCAGGCUGCAACUCGCUGCAUGAAAGUCGGAAUCGCUAGUAAUCGCGGAUCAGCAGGUCGCGGAAACCGGUAAGGGC